AUUGAACGCUGGCGGCAGGCUUAACACAUGCAAGUCGAACGAACAUAGCAAUAUGUUAGUGGCAGACGGGUGAGUAACGCGUGGGAAUGUGCCCUUUAGUUCGGAAUAACUCAGGGAAACUUGAGCUAAUACCGGAUAAGCCCGAGAGGGGAAAGAUUUAUCGCUGAAGGAGCAGCCCGCGUCUGAUUAGCUAGUUGGUGAGGUAAUGGCUCACCAAGGCGACGAUCAGUAGCUGGUCUGAGAGGAUGAUCAGCCACACUGGGACUGAGACACGGCCCAGACUCCUACGGGAGGCAGCGGUGGGGAAUAUUGGACAAUGGGGGCAACCCUGAUCCAGCCAUGCCGCGUGAGUGAUGAAGGCCUUAGGGUUGUAAAACUCUUUUAUCCGGGAAGAUAAUGACUGUACCGGAAGAAUAAGCCCCGGCUAACUUCGUGCCAGCCGCCGCGGUAAGAC
rnacentral:rRNA from 1 species